rnacentral:lncRNA from 1 species
AAGAUAGUAAAGCAAGUAAUCUUUGAAAUUGCUGUGGAGUACCAGGACUUCCAUCCUGAAGUAACACAUCCAUGUCUCCUAGAAACUUUGAUAGCAAUCCCAAGGAGAACUGCAUGUUAUUUACCCAGUGUUUCUGAAAUUGCAAGAAACUGUCCAUAAUCACACUCCGAUCUGAUUCUGCCAGGUCAGGCACCAUUGCCCACCCAAGGAGCAGAUCAACAAUGUCAACAAAGUGAGGCUGGAAACAUCUAGAAAAGUUUAAAGAAAUUAUAGUUAAAACAGCAAGAAGUCUGUGCAGUAAAAUCAGGGAGGUUCUCUCAUCUUCGAGAAGUUCCUGGCAUGCUUUGAGAACAGGCAAGGCAUAUCUUUCGACUGCCCCAACAUCUCCAACACUAAGAAAUUCUCGUAGAGCUUCCAAAGCCAGCUCCGCUGUCGCAUUUCCUAUAUUGAUAAGCAGUGGCAAUGCCCAACCCAUGAACCGGUCAACCAAGCCACUGAGUAUAACAUGAUUCUGCCUUCCAUUUGAUGCUAGAGGGACUGAACACAGUACAGAGCACAAAGCCCCAUAUGCUGUGGCUGCUGACUGCCGUACCAAAUAUGAUCUAAGCAACACAGUGAAAGCAAAAGAUAAAUCAACAGAAAUGAAGUAUAUUAUCCUGAUCAUUAACUGGUCAAUAUCCACUCAAAAUUUAAAGACCCUUUAUUACAAUGAAUACAAGUAAUUACAUCCUAUUAAAGUGCAAGGUAUGUGAUGCACUUGGCCCAUCAACAGAACCAACUGGAAUGUAGGUUGUAUAACAAAUUGCUAUUCUUGUGCCAUCCAAGAACAAAUGUUUGAUAGAUUGAGAUGGAAUAAACUUCAAUUUUUUUUUUUAAUGAAUUGCAUAAGCUAUUGAAACAUAACAAGACAAGUCACGUGAAUACACUCUGAUGCCAAAUCUGCAGCUAAUUUUUAAUGGAAAGUUUCAAAUCAUUAGUCACAUAUAUUUUCAACCACUGUUGACAUGAACAUGGAUUAACAAACUUAUUUCGGUGGCCCAGUGGAUCUUUUAUCUUUCCCCUCAAAUACCUAUCCUUUACAAGAAACUUGUAAUUGUGCAGAUUCUAGUUGCUGAAUUUAAUUUCAAGCAUAUCUCUCAUGAUUUUAAACCACUCCUUGAAGCAAAUCAGAAUUAGUUUGAUAAUAAAUGCAACUACAGUGGAGAUCAAUGACUACAUGCUAGACUUAACUAGCUUGGAAAUAAUCAGGGGAUGGACACUAAUUUCAGCAAAAUCAGACGCCAAAAGACACAACUGACUGGAGUUUUAGAGGAAGAGUUGGUCUUUACAAUUUUCCUUAACCAAAAAUUCUCUAUGCAGAUAAAGCUCCAAUUCCAGAGCUGUGCACCCAGUUUAAACUUCUUAACCAGACUAUCCUAGCAUAGAAUAAUGACAAAGCAAUACGAGAUGAACAUCACCACUACUACUGUCCAAAUAUUUUUUAACAACUAAACGAAAGAAAGAGCAGGAAAGAGAACUCUUGUCAGAGAAGGAAAAUUUUGCUUUACCAAACAAGCCAGUAUCUUUUGAAGCUCCUCAGGAAUUUCCUUCUCUUGGGUGUUUGCAUCAACUAGAGCAGGGUACACAAUAGACCAAGGAGAUAGUUUUGACAGCUUGACCAGUAAAGUUUCUAGCUGUCUCCUAACUACUUGUUCUGGAUGACAACUUAAUCGUGCAAAUAGUUGAGGUGUUAUCUCCUUCAAAAAAAAAUAAUUAUUAGAAAAUCAUCCACCAACAUUGGUAUGACAUCCUAAAAGCGUAACUCACCUGCCAUGGUAGCAAAGGAACAGUUGAAAGUGCAGGUUCAAGAGUAUCUUCCAACUCAACGCCAUAGUUGAGAAGAAUAUUUAAGACGUAUAAAGUUGCCCUCAUUGUGUAGCUCAUGGACUUAUGAUUUGAGUGAUGCAGGCCAGAUAGUUGACAAUCAGAGUACAUGGAAGAUGAAUACGAAAGGUAAUUGAUGAAAGCUUGAGCUGCUUGACCAAAGAGGGAUACCCUUCUUCUUCUCAAAGACCGCCAAAGAUCAGUUAUAUCAUCAAUCAAGGAUGUUACUGCUGGAUCAUCAAGGGCAAUCUUUGCACUGGCUAAGGACUUCUGCAAUUUAGAUUUUAGCAUAGCAGAAAGGGUUUCACCACUAUGAUCUUCAGCUCCAGGUGCUCCUGCUGUAGCUUCAAGAAUAUCUGUUAUUUGCUCAGACAAAGAUUUGACAUUCUCCUUCUGCCAACAUUCUGAGACAACAAAAUUUUCCAUAUUCUCAUUUAGAACUUCUAACGAUCUUUUCUGUAGGAGCUCUGAGACAAUGUCUUUCACUUUUAGCUGCUCUAUCUCGGUUAAACUUAAGCUUUGAUGAUGGAUUUCAGAAUGAAAAGCAGAUGAAACGGAAGAAGAAUGAAGGAGAGCUUCAUUAUCUGCAGAAAGAAAUGAUCUUGCCCGAGCAUAACACCAAGAGGCAUAUGAAAUCCAUGACUUCCCCAUAUUAAGGCAGAGUCGAGUAGAUAGCUCCCUUGCAGCACCCACAAAUUCCUCAGUAAUAGCAUCAAUAUUAGGUUUAGCACUCAGAGCAUCAUUUCUAAAGCUAGAAAACCCUCUGCCAGAGUCAAACGUGUCAGUAUUAAUAAAAUCUUCUCUAAACUUCAGAACGACAUCUUUCAACCUUGGAUCUGAAUAAUUUUGUUCCAACCAAUUUGACAGUUUUAAACAUGCCUUUGCCUUCAAGACAUUGUCAAAAGAAUCAGAAGAAACAAUUGCAGAAGAAAGCAUGCUAGGACGUACAAGUGACCACAUAUUGGAAAAUGCAUCAUCAAGCUUGCCUUCACUGUGCAUCAACAGGAUGUCCUCAUACUGCAAACUGGAGAUGAUAUAAUCACGAAAGUCGGUGUCAGGGCAAUUUGCUACAUUCUCCUUAAGGUAGUUGCUUAGACGAUUUGCCAACACCAAAUUUCUUUGCUUGCGAGAUAAGUUCAACAAGUUAUUACAUAGCUUGAGAGUCGCAGGUGAUGUUGGUUGAGUAUUUUGGUAAACUCGGAGUACUUUUAGCCAUAAACUGCAAUCUUGAUGAACUCGAUUAAUCGGGGACUGAACUGCUUGAAUAUAUGAUCCUAAUAAUGACUCUAAAUGAUUGUCUUGGCUGCCCCGCAUCUGGUACUUUUCCUCCAAUGCCAGUAUGCAGUAUAAAUGGUUGACAUGUGGUGCAGCAUCAGAGAGACCAUCGAGGGGAAGAACAGAUAGUGUUUCCUCCAGUAUUGACUUGGCUUUCUGCAAUUCGUGAGGUACCUUGUCCACUUUCCCCUCCUUCUGGAAAAGCAUUGCCUGCAAAAGCAUUUGCUCACUCCUUUGCAAGGCUAACUUGGGAUCAAGUGUGAGUUCAUUGCUACUUUUUGGUGUCAAAUCAAGGCAUGCCCAUGAUGCCUGAACAUCGCCCUCAUCAAAACGGGCUAAUGCUUGGACGGAGUUUAUUUCAUUUCCUGCAGUAGUUAGAGCACCAGAGUAGCUCUUUCCUGCAUGCUUUGAUCGUAGUGCUUGCAGCUCCAACAACCAGGAUUCCAAAGCUUUCCAAUCAGAAACUGCAGUAUAACUCUCAAUAAUACGAGCAAUAGCAAACUGUACUCCUUCAGAACCCAUAGAACUGAGUGAAUCAUCGGUCUGUAGCAGAUGUAUAAAAUGUGCUGCAGCCUUCUCAUGUUGGCCCUUUGCCUGAUAUACUAGUCCAGUUAUCCAUGAAAAUUGUUCUAGAAUCUCACUAUCACUUAACCUUUGAUUGUCCUCAGCAAACAAUGGAAAGAAUGCCAUGCUUGUCCACUUUUGUAGACCAAUUAAUGCCUCUGAUUCAUGAUUCUUACAGAGAGCUAAUGCCAUGUGCCGUACAACCCUCAAAAUUUCUCCAUCAAACCUACCCCUGAUACUCUGGACAACUUCACUCACCUGGACUCUUGAAUUGUCCGUGAAAGAUGAAGCAACAAAAUUCUUAAGCUCUCGUAAACGCAGUGUGCAGUAUUGGAUUGUAGCAUCAUGACACUGGAGUGCCAAUCCAGCAUUCAUCAUUGGUUCACAUAUGCGAGAAAACCACUCCUCACAGACUUUCUUAUUUGCACGGAAGAACAAAGAGCUCUGCCUAGAUGGACAGGGCAAAACUGUUGAUCCUUCAUAUGCAUUGUACACAUUUUUCUUCAGAGCCUCAACAAAAUCUAGCAACAGCCUCAUUGGCAACAAAUGAGCAUAAGAAGUGCUGGUGAUGGUCAAAUUUCCAUCACUUUGGUGAGUAUCAAGCUGUAGCAGAUGAGAAAUGUCCAGAAGCAUUCGUUCCAAUGCAGCAAAAGUUUGAGUGGGGCCACCAAGAUUGGUCCGGAGUCUCGUAGAAAUACAGCACCUUGCCGCUUCAUUUAUAGCCCACCAGGCACCUGCAAGAAUAUUGGUAGAGCAGACUCUUUCAAGAAUAUCCCUCUCCACUUUGACGUCCCUCCACAAUCCAUUUACAUCAGCGUUUACCAAUUCCUCUGACUGUAUUAAAGGAUGGUCUUUCGAGUUCCGGCAGGAACAGAUUAACCGUUGAAUCCAAGAAGACAAAGGCACUUUCCAUCUCUGAGAAAUGUAACUCAAUAUGGAAACAAGUUGCUGUGAGCGAAGUUGAUGAGGUAGUUGCUUUAUGGCAAAGACUUGCUUCCAGUACAAAUUAGGCCUGUUUUUAACUCCACAAAUAACACUGCUAGAAGAAGUAAUCAUUCUACAAUCAUACAGACCAAAAACAUAUAUAGUAAUAGGCAGAACAUUGCAAAGCAACCUACCAAAUGCAUUUUUUAUAUCUUUUUCUGGGUCCCCAAGUUUCUCAAGGACAGUCUCAGCAAUGUACAGGAAGUGAGAGGGAUGGACAAGUUUUGCUUGCAGAAGCAUGUCUAGAACCAAUUUGACAAGAGAUCUUACUCUUGGUUCUCUGUCUGAUGCAGAAUCCAAAAUGGAGAACAGCAAAUUCUGCAUGACCUCUACAUAUCCCCAGACUUCACAAGGAUAAUGUGUUGCCUCCACAUUCUCAUAUGCACAGAUUACAUUUUUACAGAAUUUAGUUAUCCAUUCUAAGGCUUCUAUUUUAACAGCUAAAGGAGCAGCAGUGUCAAGAGCUUUAACAAGGAGAUUGGAGUAAUUUCUCAAAUACUCCAAAACUAGUAUUGGAUGUUGAUUUUUAAUAUUAUCCUCCUUCAUUGGCUUUGAAAGUGCAGGUUCUCUUGUAGAGCAACUAGUCAGAAACUCAACGUCACUCAGCCUUUGCAAUGUCUGCAAUACUGCUAGUUGCAGUUCUACAUAGGCUUCAAUAGGUAAGCUAAAAGGAUCUAAUUUCUCCACCAAAAAGGAUAAUAAUCUCUUUGACCUAUUAAGAUACAACGUGUCAACUUCUGUAACAUUCAUAUAGCGACUUCCACCUGGAGAAACACACGUUAACAAGACUUUCAAAUCAAAAUGGAUUAAAGCAAACAAUUCUGAUCGUGAAUAAGAUUUUUGAGCUGUAAUUCCAUCUCCAAUGCACCCCUCACCGCAUGUCUCUUUGAGCACAAUAGUCUUCAACAAAUCCAGCUCCUCAAUCAAGGAAUUGAUUGUCCUUUCAACAACUUCUUCAUUAACAUGCUGCAGUAAGAAGAUAUAGGUAGCAGCAGCACUUCCAGUUACUAACUGAUUUGGAUGCAGACGCAAUUGAGAUAUAGGGGCAUCAAAUCCUAUUAUCUUUUCAGCAGAUGAUGGGAGAAGCCCAUGCUUUUGAAGCGACAGCAACUGUAAAUUAGUUUUAAGAACCCCAUGAACCUGAAAGGAAGUAAUAUUUACAGUCCUUGUGAGUUGGACUGUAUUCCGCAUGUCCAAGCUCUGAAACAAAAUAUCAACCGCAAUAGGGAAAAAUGUUGAAAACCUAUCGCCUAAAAUUUCUGCUAACAAAGUCAAGCACUUCCAAGAAUCCUGAAUCCAUUUUGACCAACCAUAUUUCCUUCCAAUCUGUGAUAAACAUCCUAAUAAAAGAGGAACCAUUUUGCAAAGAGGUUCAGUAAUCUGUCCCAGCAUAUUCAUUUCCAGCAAACCAGAUGCUACAGACUUCAAAACUGUAGAAAAGCAAGAUAGUAAAGCAAGUAAUCUUUGAAAUUGCUGUGGAGUACCAGGACUUCCAUCCUGAAGUAACACAUCCAUGUCUCCUAGAAACUUUGAUAGCAAUCCCAAGGAGAACUGCAUGUUAUUUACCCAGUGUUUCUGAAAUUGCAAGAAACUGUCCAUAAUCACACUCCGAUCUGAUUCUGCCAGGUCAGGCACCAUUGCCCACCCAAGGAGCAGAUCAACAAUGUCAACAAAGUGAGGCUGGAAACAUCUAGAAAAGUUUAAAGAAAUUAUAGUUAAAACAGCAAGAAGUCUGUGCAGUAAAAUCAGGGAGGUUCUCUCAUCUUCGAGAAGUUCCUG